AAUAAUGUUUUUCUGUAUCUGGGAAUCUUGUGGAUAAUUUCUAGGAUGUUUAGAUGCUACAUACAUAACACUUUCCCAUUUAAAAAUGUACUUUCCCAUUUAAAUGUGUACUUUUGCGGGAGCGUUGUUUUCACGUCCUCAAAACGCGGGUCAACCAAUCAGAGACCGUCACUUCAAUAGCCUUAAUUCAACGCGUCUGGAGAACGCCAGUCAGCCAAUGAAAUGAUCUUGAAAUUUGAGCCUUCGUGAUUCCGCGUUCUUCCACGCGACUUGACCAAUCACACGGAAUCAUUCUUAUCCCGCAAAAAGGUCAAUACAAAUAGCCUUCUGUCAACAGAUGCAGAUUGCCGGUGAUAACGAUAAUUAACGCGGACUAGGGGUCAGAAGAGAUCAAAUGGAGAAGAUGACUUUAGAAAAUAAAAGGAGUAGCCUUACAUCUUCAAAACUACGUAUAGUACUCGAACUUUAACAAGUCAUUAAACAAGCUAUUUCUAAAACCAACACCAAGGACACUCGAAUUGGCUUACCCUAGUAAUGACCUUUUUCUUCUUUGCACAGCUCUCCCAGAAUCUCUUUUUGCUAUACCAAAUAUGUCAUGUCUUUCUGUGAACAAUUCACCAAGUGGAUAUUUUUAGUGUUCCCAGGUCGGACUAAUCAUACUUGAUCUCAAUGAACCAAAGACUUGUGAUGGCGCGAAACGAAAUUGGCGCCCUUUUAGUCCCGUGGCUUGGCUCGAUCACGGCUGUAUCCAGCCCAAAUUUGUCUGCAUCCAAAUCAAAUAUUGUUCUUUUUGCCGUCGGUUUCAUCCAAGAAUGACCCAUUCGUAUUGUUCUCAUUAUAAAAAGAUGCAGGAGAGAAAUCUUCUAGCUCACGCUGCACAUGAUGCCGUGUAACACGAGAUCUCAGGAAAGACAUGACAUAUUUGGUAUAGCGAAAAGAGAUUCUGGGAGAGCUGUGCAAA